rnacentral:rRNA from 1 species
GAUGAACGCUGGCGGCGUGCCUAAUACAUGCAAGUCGAGCGAACAGACGAGGAGCUUGCUCCUUUGACGUUAGCGGCGGACGGGUGAGUAACACGUAGGUAACCUCCCUAUAUGACUGGGAUAACUUCGGGACACCGGAGCUACUACCGUAUAAUAUUUCGAACCGCAUGGUUCGAUAGUGAAAGAUGGCUUUGCUCUCACUUAUAGAUGGACUUGCGCCGUAUUAGCUAGUUGGUAAGGUAACGGCUUACCAAGGCGACGAUACGUAUCCGACCUGAGAGGAUGAUCGGCCACACUGGAACUGAGACACGGUCCAGACUCCUACGGGAGGCAGCAGUGGGGAAUCUUCGGCAAUGGGCGAAAGCCUGACGGAGCAACGCCGCGUGAGUGAUGAAGGUCUUCGGAUCGUAAAACUCUGUUAUUAGGGAAGAACAAACGUGUAAGUAAAUGUGCACGUCUUGACGGUACCUAAUCAGAAAGCCACGGCUAACUACGUG